UUCCGGUUGAUCCUGCCGGACCUGACUGCUAUCGGAUUGAUACUAAGCCAUGCGAGUCAUUGUAGCAAUACAAGGCAGACGGCUCAGUAACGCGUAGUCAACCUAACCUAUGGACGGGAAUAACCUCGGGAAACUGAGAAUAAUGCCCGAUAGAACACUAUGCCUGGAAUGGUUUGUGUUCCAAAUGAUUUAUCGCCGUAGGAUGGGACUGCGGCCUAUCAGUUUGUUGGUGAGGUAAUGGCCCACCAAGACUAUUACAGGUACGGGCUCUGAGAGGAGUAGCCCGGAGAUGGGUACUGAGACACGGACCCAGGCCCUAUGGGGCGCAGCAGGCGAGAAAACUUUGCAAUGUGCGAAAGCACGACAAGGUUAAUCCGAGUGGUUUGUGCUAAACAGACCUUUUGUUAGUCCUAGAAACACUAACGAAUAAGGGGUGGGCAAGUUCUGGUGUCAGCCGCCGCGGUAAAACCAGCACCUCAAGUGGUCAGGAUGAUUAUUGGGCCUAAAGCAUCCGUAGCCGGCUCUGUAAGUUUUCGGUUAAAUCUGUAUGCUCAACAUACAGGCUGCCAGGAAUACUGCAGAGCUAGGGAGUGGGAGAGGUAGACGGUACUCGGUAGGAAGGGGUAAAAUCCUUUGAUCUAUUGAUGACCACCUGUGGCGAAGGCGGUCUACCAGAACACGUCCGACGGUGAGGGAUGAAAGCUGGGGGAGCAAACCGGAUUAGAUACCCGGGUAGUCCCAGCUGUAAACUAUGCAAACUCAGUGAUGCAUUGGCUUGUGGCCAAUGCAGUGCUGCAGGGAAGCCGUUAAGUUUGCCGCCUGGGAAGUACGUACGCAAGUAUGAAACUUAAAGGAAUUGGCGGGGGAGCACCACAAGGGUGAAGCCUGCGGUUCAAUUGGAUUCAACGCCGGAA
rnacentral:rRNA from 1 species